GAUGAACGCUGGCGGCGUGCCUAAUACAUGCAAGUCGAGCGAACAGACGAGGAGCUUGCUCCUCUGACGUUAGCGGCGGACGGGUGAGUAACACGUGGAUAACCUACCUAUAAGACUGGGAUAACUUCGGGAAACCGGAGCUAAUACCGGAUAAUAUAUUGAACCGCAUGGUUCAAUAGUGAAAGACGGUUUUGCUGUCACUUAUAGAUGGAUCCGCGCCGCAUUAGCUAGUUGGUAAGGUAACGGCUUACCAAGGCGACGAUGCGUAGCCGACCUGAGAGGGUGAUCGGCCACACUGGAACUGAGACACGGUCCAGACUCCAACGGGAGGCAGAAGUAGGGAAUCUUCCGCAAUGGGCGAAAGCCUGACGGAGCAACGGCGCGUGAGUGAUGAAGGUCUUCGGAUCGUAAAACUCUGUUAUUAGGGAAGAACAAAUGUGUAAGUAACUAUGCACGUCUUGACGGUACCUAAUCAGAAAGCCACGGCUAACUACGUG
rnacentral:rRNA from 1 species